rnacentral:rRNA from 1 species
UACGUAGGGUGCGAGCGUUGUCCGGAAUUAUUGGGCGUAAAGAGCUUGUAGGCGGUUUGUCGCGUCUGCUGUGAAAUUUCGGGGCUCAACCCCGAACUUGCAGUGGGUACGGGCAGACUAGAGUGUGGUAGGGGAGACUGGAAUUCCUGGUGUAGCGGUGAAAUGCGCAGAUAUCAGGAGGAACACCGAUGGCGAAGGCAGCUCGCUGGGACGGUACUGACGCUGAGACGCGAAAGCGUGGGGAGCGAACAGG